CGCGCCGGCGCCAUGGCCGCCCAGGGGAUCUGGACACUGGCGGGAGUAGUGCUUAGGAGGCCACCGCCUGGAGCCGAAGGCUUCCGACAGCAGCUCAGCCUAACCCUCCGUUCAGCGUCCGAGGGAGCCCGCGGCGGCUCCGCGCCCGGCUCGUGGGAAACCCCUGAAGGAGAACCGAGGCAUCCAGCGAGCCGAGAGUUAACAGCGGCGGAGAGGCACAUCGCCGAGCUGCACCGGGCCGCCUGCGCGGUGAGGCCCGCUCCAGCCUGCCCUGCGGCCUCUGCGCCUGCGCGCCUCCUACCUUCGGACCCGCAGGCGGCCGGGACCGGAGGCUGGCCAGCUAAGCUAUGUGGACCCAGCUACUGGCUAUGUGGUUCUCACAAGGCUGGCCCACUUGCAGAGAGGCGCCUGCUGUGGCUCUGCCUGCAGACACUGCAAGCAUCAGCUCCUCCAGAUGCUAAGACUUGAAGUUCAGGGGAGCUCUUUAUUUCGAGGAAAGCUUUCAUGAAGUCUGAAAGAAGGUGUAUUCACUAGGCAUGCACAGAGGUGUCCAUAUGGCCAAGUCAAUGUGAAAGAUCCAUCCAAGAAGAAGCAAUUCAACUCCCAUUUUUAUGUUUGACAACAACUUCAUCUCUA